rnacentral:rRNA from 1 species
GACGAACGCUGGCGGCGUGCCUAACACAUGCAAGUCGAACGGAGAAUUAGCAAUAAUUCUUAGUGGCGAACGGGUGAGUAACGCGUAGACAACCUACCCUUUAGAUGGGGUCAACACCGCGAAAGUGGUGCUAAUACCGAAUAUUGCUUGAGAAGCGCAUGCUUUUCAAACUAAAGAUGGCCUCUAUUUAUAAGCUAUCGCUAAAGAAUGGGUCUGCGUCUGAUUAGCUAGUUGGUGAGAUAAAAGCCCACCAAGGCAACGAUCAGUAGCCGGUCUGAGAGGAUGAACGGCCACACUGGGACUGAGACACGGCCCAGACUCCCACGGGAGGCAGCAGUGGGGAAUCUUCCGCAAUGGACGAAAGUCUGACGGAGCAACGCCGCGUGAGUGAUGAAGGUUUUCGGAUCGUAAAACUCUGUUGUUAAGGACGAAUGUAUAGAUUGUGAAUAAUGGUUUAUAAUGACGGUACUUAACGAGGAAGCCACGGCUAACUACGUGCCAGCCGCCGCCGUAA